rnacentral:tRNA from 1 species
GCGCCCGUAGCUCAGAUGGAUAGAGUACAUGCCUCCGGAGCAUGGGGUCGUGAGUUCGAAUCUCACCGGGCGCG